CAAGCUGUUUCUGAUGCUGGUGAUUUUGCAGUCUUUCUCAGCAUGUUUCGUCCUUUCAGUGUAGCAUGUCCUGCAUUGUGCAGUAUCAGCCACUGAGGCCAUAGCACGGUCACAGCAAUCCAGGGAGAACUCGGCCCUCUGGAGAGCCUACAGGCACGACAGCUGGCCAGUGCCGCUCGGAGAGAGAACAUGGGACUGUCAUGGCUGGCACAUUGUGGAUUCUGAUAGGAAGGGAAAGGACCUUGAGUUCUGUCCUUGAAGCAUUGUCAAGUUUAUACAUGUCAGUUGCUAUAUGUGAAAUAGAAAAUAAUGAUUACAGAGGAAUGGUUGGAAAUUUAGAUUCUAAUGACUCAAAUGCCAUUUAACACUUUCAAGUAUAAUCACAGCCUUAAUAUUAAUAUGAUCCCAGGACAAAAAUAGGAAAGAAUUGUGUGGGGCAUAAUUAAAAGAAAUAUGUAAAGGAAUUGCCAUUUGAAAGAAAUUUUCCUUCAAGGGAGAAGCCAUCUGUAUCAAUCUGUUUUCCUUCCUUCCUUCCUUCCUUCCUUCCUUCCUUCCUUCCUUCCUUCCUUCCUUCCUUCCUUCCUUCCUAACUCAACAUGACCAUUUAAAAUUUUAAAUUAUUUUUUAUUAUAAAAUUAGUACAUUAUCAUUGUUGAAACUGUCAAAAUAAAAACAAGCCAAGAUGAACAUACUCCCACCGUUCAGAGGCAAUUGCCACUGGCCUUUUUGUGUACAUUCUCCCUGUCUUUUUCUCUAUGCUGGGCUUAAUAGGACAUUGGAACUUUUUUGAAUUUUGUCUCAGUGGUCUUUACUUUUCUUCUCCUCUGUGUUUGGGAGCUUGAUAACCAUAGCACAGACACAUUAUUUCACUCUGGAUCUUGGAUAGCUAAAUGUAAAAUUAUUCUCUGGUAUUCACCCUUCUAACUUUGUGCUCCCUUGAAGUCAAAACUGUAAAGACGUUAUCACGGCUGCCCCUUUUAAUUUCCUUGUUUCCCCUGAAGUUAAAAGAUUCAUUCCUGCAGCUGACAACAGUUUUCUGAUUUAAUAAAAAGUCACCCUUGCAAAACUAGCCAACUUGCAUUUUCUCACGUUAAACCUCUACUCAUUUUUAUAAUUAAAAUCAUUUUCUUGACUUCUUAAAAUACUCCCCAUCCUUCACAUGUGCUUUUUUUUUUUUGGUAAUCUCUCGAUCUUCUGCUUAGAAGUUAAUUUUGAUAGUUUGCAGUUAAGUAAAAAGCAGAUAUAAGAAUUUACAAUGAAAAGGAAUUUGGCUUUAUAACUUGCUGACUCACUCCCACCCAGAGGUGUGGGUACACUACAGAUUUCCUGCAAAUCUCAAGGGAAAAGUAGCACAAUUGUUUAAGCCCCGUGAGAGACCAAAUGCUCAUUUUCUUUUACUUUAUAAUAGGCAAAAACAGACUUAGGGACCAAACUCCCACCUGUCAAGUGUCCUAGCUACUCGUCUGUGGUCUAGGAACCAGAAACCUGGGUAUCACCUGGGAGCUUGUUCAAAAUGCAGACUCCCAGGACCCACCCCAGAUCUCCUGAUUGCACAUCUACAGAUCUGUAUUUUUACAAGAUCCCAAGGGGUUCUCAUGCGCAUGAAAGUCUGAGAUGCUCUUGGCUAAGAGCCAUGGAAAAUGGGAGCUGGGCGCACAUAUUAAUGAAAAACAGCCGACAUAAAGUAAUACACCAGAUUUUAGAAAUCAGUAAUUGAACCAAAUAGCUACACUGAGGAAACCUAUUUUCUUUGGAAUUAUGUCCAGGAGAGAGAAUUAACACCUCAGACUUAUGUUCAUAUGGAAAGUAAUGUGUAGGACAGGGUAAUCGAUCUUUUAAAAAUUUCCAGCAUAUUUGCUGUAGAUGGUGUUCGAAUGUGGUAGAACCUGGGCAAGGAAUGGGGAAGAAGUGGAGAGAUCUGUGUGUCACUUCCGUAUAAUGGAAGGGCUUUUUCCAUUCCUGGAUGUUUUACAAGUUUUAACUUUGUUUAGGGAGUCAGUGCCCCCUUGGACUUGAGUUUGGGUCUGAGUUGAGCUACUACCCUUUUUCUGACAGGAGGGAAUCGGAUCCUUUGGGUUCCUCUGACCGUGUGUUUUUUGUUGUGAGCUUGGUGAGGUGGCAGCCCUCCAGGGCUAUGUGUGGUGGGCGAGAGGCCGCAGUGCCCUCCUGGGGGCACAGAAGCUUGGGGAAGGUUUCAGAUGAUACUGGUUAGGGAGAGAAAAGGAGAAAGAUGACAAAAAGACAUGCUGAAGGAGCCCUGCGGCUGUGAGGCCUGACAGGAAUUUCCUCGGGUGUUUAAAUGUAGUCUCCUGAGCUCCCCCUCAGAAUCUGGAUCAGAAUCUCUAGAGGUAGAGUGCAGGAAUCUGCUUGUUUAACAAGUUCCUUGGGGUGAUUCUGAGGCACCCUAGAAAAAUGGAAUACCUCUGCUCUGGAAUGAAAGCCAAAGCACCUUCAACCACUAAUUUGAACAAGAAGGUAGGCAGGGCGACAAGGCAUCCUGGGACAUAGGACUUUCAUGUGAAAAUCGGGGCAAAGCAGGAAUGCUUGGUCCUGCCAUAAAUUCUUUUCAUCUAAGGACAUUCAUCCCUAUUUUUAUGGGUUUUUUGGCUUCCUUUGUUUAGUUUUUCAAUUUUAAGAAUUGCUUUAGAAUACAGAAAUGAACAAAGAAGAAAUGUCAGCUGUCAUCACCACACCCAGAGAUAUCUACUAUUGACGCCUUGGCACAUUUACUUCCAAUCAUUUUUUAUUUUGAAUAAAAAUGAUUCAUUUGUCUUUGUAAAUGCAUCUUCAUCAUACAGAACUUUUUUAAUGUAGAAAAAGAUAGACGUUUUAAAAUGACUCCAAACCCUCUGAGAAAUAGCUAUUACUAAAUGUAGGUGACCUUAUUUUAGCAACCAUUUUAUUUGCAUAUGGAUGGAUGGAGAUACAUUUUAUUGAUCCUGAGUCAUCCUUCUUUUUUUAUUUUUGAGAUCAAAAAUCUUUGAAAUUGGUAUGUUAUCUUCUAGUCCAUGGCAUCUGUGCAUUGUAUCCUAGUUAAAUUGGCAGUGAUUUUCUUUCUUAGUGGUACAUCUGACAAGAGCUACUGUCUCACGUAUUACGAAAUAAGGUACGCCAGUAGAUAGGAUCCUACUGUAACUGCCCUUUUGAAGUUUUUUUAAAAAGUACUGAGUUUCACUUUUCUUUAUUUAACAGAAGAAAAGAAGCUAAAUGAAUUACUAACAAGUUUUACUGUGAGAGAUAUUUAUUUCCUAUGAAAUAUCUCUGAGAAAAAGAAAAAAGAUUAUUAAAAAUGUUAGUAGGAGUCAUUUUGUUGGGUUUUGUGUUUUUUUAAGCUACACAUUUCAAUUAUGAGGUCGGUUGGUUGACCUUCUGCUAUGAAAGAGGAGAGUAUCUACCCACUAAUAUUUCUAGGUGAGGACUUAGGCAUACUGUUAUUUUUCCAUUUUCCAGUUUUAAAUAUUCCCAUUUGGCCCCAAGACUAUGAUUACCAUGUUGUUUGGUAUAAGUUCAAUAUUUAAAUUAGCUUACUGUCACCACCAUCCAUAGCCUGAGGAAAGGGCAGAGAAGAGAUAAAUCUCAGCUGGGGUCAUUGACAGUCUUUGGAUUCUUGGACCCAGCUUUCUCAGAGUUUGUAAAUGUCACGUUCUAGGGUCUCUGCUGCAUAAUUGGGAGAGGGUAUAAUCCAUUUCCACAGGUUUCUGAUUGCUCUUUAAUUCAGAAGCCUGCCCUCAAGACCUCACUUCCCUUAGAUAGUCAGCAUCCUUCCCUUUUCUUGAUCAACUUUAUCGAGGUACAAUUUACAUAAGAUAAAAUUCCCCCUUUUGAACUGCACAACUCAACGAAUUUUGAUAAAUGUAUAUUGUCAUGCAACCCCACCACAAUGAUGACAGAGCAUUUCCAUCACCCCCAAAAUUCCCUCAUGCCCCUUUGCAGAAAACUCCCUCCCUCACCAACCACUGACCUGAUUUCUGUCUAUAGUUUCACCUGCUCCAGAUUGUUGUAUAAAUGGGAGUUAUGUAGCAUGUAGUCUUUAUGCCUGGCCUCUUUCGUGUAACAUAAUGCUUUUGAUAUUCAUCCAAGGUAAGGUGUGUUUCAGCAAUCCAUUCCUUUUUUUUUUUUUUUUUUUU